CUCACAGGUCGAGAGAGACAAGAGACACCACAUAAACGAUCAGACAGUUGAUUAGAGAGAACUCUGUCGGAAAAUGGAUAACGUCGACCAAGAGUUCAACAAUUACUGGGAAACAAACUCCUUCCUCCAAAACGAAGACUUCGAAUAUGACAGCUGGCCUUUGGAGGAGGCGAUUUCUGGGUCGUAUGAUUCGAGUUCGCCUGAUGGGGCGGCUUCGUCUCCGGCUUCUAAGAAUAUUGUGUCGGAGAGAAACAGAAGACAGAAGCUUAACCAGAGACUCUUCGCUCUUCGAUCAGUUGUCCCCAAUAUCACUAAGAUGGAUAAAGCAUCAAUAAUCAAAGAUGCAAUUAGUUACAUACAAGGGUUGCAAUAUGAAGAGUCGAAGCUCGAAGCGGAGAUCAGAGAACUUGAAUCUACUCCAAAGAGUAGCCUGAGCUUCAGUAAAGAUUUUGAUCGUGAUUUGCUGGUUCCUGUCACAUCCAAGAAGAUGAAGCAGCUUGAUUCUGGUCCUUCCCGUUCUCUCAUUGAAGUUCUCGAACUGAAGGUAACAUUCAUGGGAGAGAGGACAGUGGUAGUGAAUGUAACAUGUAAUAAGAGGACAGACACAAUGGUGAAACUGUGUGAAGUCUUUGAGUCAUUGAAUCUCAAAAUCAUCACUUCCAAUCUCAACUCUUUCUCUGGCAUGAUCUUCAACACUGUCUUUGUUGAGGCGGAGGAAGAAGAACAAGAGGUGGUGAGAUUAAAAAUAGAAACAGGAAUAGGAGCUUAUAAUGAAACUCAAAGCCCCACUUUGAGCAUCGACUCUCUUUACUAAUCAUUUUUUUUGUUUUCAUUUGUCUCGGCUUCUCUCUCUUUUACAAAUAAAUAAUAUGUUAUCUCUUUCCAUUUCGUUUAUUUGUCCAUCACGAAUACUUCUUAUUGUGCGUUUAUAUAGUGUCUAUAAUAAUAAUAAUAAUCGUACGCAUUGUUUCUUC